AUGCUUAUAGCUUAACUGGAUAAAGCAUUAGAUUGCGGAUCUACAGAUUGAAAGUUCGAAUCUUUCUAAGCAUA
rnacentral:tRNA from 1 species